rnacentral:rRNA from 1 species
UACGUAGGGGGCAAGCGUUAUCCGGAAUUAUUGGGCGUAAAGAGCUCGUAGGCGGUGUGUCACGUCGGCCGUGAAAACCUGCAGCUUAACUGUGGCGUGCGGUCGAUACGGGCAUCACUGGAGUUCGGCAGGGGAGACUGGAAUUCCCUGGUGUAGCGGUGAAAUGCGCAGAUAUCAGGAGGAACACCGGUGGCGAAGGCGGGUCUCUGGGCCGAUACUGACGCUGAGGAGCGAAAGCGUGGGGAGCAAACAGG